rnacentral:rRNA from 1 species
UGGGGAAUAUUGGACAAUGGGCGAAAGCCUGAUCCAGCAAUGCCGCGUGAGUGAUGAAGGCCUCGGGUUGUAAAGCUCUUUCGACGGGGACGAUGAUGACGGUACCCGUAGAAGAAGCCCCGGCUAACUUCGUGCCAGCAGCCGCGGUAAUACGAAGGGGGCUAGCGUUGUUCGGAAUUACUGGGCGUAAAGCGCACGCAGGCGGCUCGUUGAGUUAGAAGUGAAAGCCCUGGGCUCAACCCGGGAAUUGCUUUUUAACACUGGCGAGCUAGAAAUCAGGAGAGGGUAGCGGAAUUCCCAGUGUAGAGGUGAAAUUCGUAGAUAUUGGGAAGAACACCGGUGGCGAAGGCGGCUACCUGGCCUGACAUUGACGCUCAUGUGCGAAAGCGUGGGGAGCAAACAGGAUUAGAUACCCCCAGUAGUC